rnacentral:rRNA from 1 species
AGAAUCAACGCUGGCGGCGUGCCUAACACAUGCAGGUCGCACGAGAAAGGGUAGCAAUACCUGAGUAAAGUGGCGCACGGGUGAGUAACACGUGAAUUAUCUACCUCCGAGUGGGGAAUAACUGAGAGAAAUCUUAGCUAAUACCGCAUAACACUUACGAGUCAAAGCAGCAAUGCGCUUGGAGAGGAGUUCGCGGCAGAUUAGUUAGUUGGCGGGGUAAUGGCCCACCAAGACGAUGAUCUGUA